rnacentral:rRNA from 1 species
UACGUAGGGGGCAAGCGUUGUCCGGAAUUAUUGGGCGUAAAGAGCGUGUAGGCGGCCAGAUAAGUCCGCUGUGAAAUCUCGAGGCUCAACUUCGAGCUGUCGGUGGAAACUGUCUGGCUAGAGUCCGGAAGAGGAGAAUGGAAUUCCUGGUGUAGCGGUGAAAUGCGCAGAUAUCAGGAGGAACACCGGUGGCGAAGGCGGCAUCCUGGACCGACACUGACACUGAGGAGCGAAAGCCAGGGGAGCAAACGGG